rnacentral:rRNA from 1 species
AGUGAACGCUGGCGGUAGGCCUAACACAUGCAAGUCGAACGGCAGCACAGUAAGAGCCUGCUCUUACGGGUGGCGAGUGGCGGACGGGUGAGGAAUACAUCGGAAUCUACUUUUUCGUGGGGGCUAACGUAGGGAAACUUACGCUAAUACCGCAUACGACCUACGGGUGAAAGCAGGGGAUCUUCGGACCUUGCGCGAUUGAAUGAGCCGAUGUCGGAUUAGCUAGUUGGCGGGGUAAAGGCCCACCAAGGCGACGAUCCGUAGCUGGUCUGAGAGGAUGAUCAGCCACACUGGAACUGAGACACGGUCCAGACUCCUAAGGGAGGCAGCAGUGGGGAAUAUUGGACAAUGGGCGCAAGCCUGAUCCAGCCAUACCGCGUGGGUGAAGAAGGCCUUCGGGUUGUAAAGCCCUUUUGUUGGGAAAGAAAAGCAGCAGGUUAAUACCCCGCUGUUCUGACGGUACCCAAAGAAUAAGCACCGGCUAACUUCGUG